AGCCUCCACCCGACACAUUUCCUGUUCUCUGUGGAGAGAAGGGCGCUGUCUCGUUGCGCACUUAUUAUUCUGCUAUAAACCUCCGUUCUAACUGCAUCGUCUCGCUGUGAAACCUGCUCUGUGUCUCCAGGGAUCUCUGCUCCGCCGUGAGGAAGAACCAUUGACUGAAGAUGUCUGGUGUGGAUAAAGAGGAGGACGGAUCAAAGUCUGACAUCAUAUGGCGUGGUUCCACCUCCCAUGCUCGACGCAACUCGACUCGGCUCUACCCCGCUUUUGGGCUUUUCCAUCCGCCCGCUUUACCGCAACCCGGACGUUUUCAGCUCAGACCCACAGCAGAGUCUUCAGCAUCCAGCAGGUUGUCUAUGAGGAGUGACCGGUCCAAAGACGACCCGCUAAACUUCAGCGUUGAACCUGAGCGUUUAAGCAGAAUAAGUCAGCGGCUCAGACGCAUAUUGUCCUUGAAGAGUGACCGGUCCAAAGAUGACCCACUAAACUUUAGAGGUUUUCAGCUCAGACCCAGAGCAGAGUCUUCAGCAUCCAGCGGGUUGUCUAUGAGGAGUGACCGGUCCAAAGAUGACCCGCUAAACUUCAGCGUUGAACCUGAGCGUUUAAGCAGAAUACGUUUUCAGCUCAGACCCAGAGCAGAGUCUUUAGCAUCCAGCAGGUUGUCUGUGAGGAGUGACCGGACCAAAGACGACCCGCUAAACUUCAGCGUUGAACCUGAGCCUUUAAGCAGAAUAGGUCAGCAGCUCAGACGCAGUGCAGAGUCUUCAGAAUCCAGCAGGUUGUCCUUGAAGAGUGACCGGUCCAAAGAUGACCCACUAAACUUUAGGUGAGUUCAGACAGUUUGAGGCGUUGUACGGCCGGCAGCCCAAAUGAAACAUCCAGAAUCCUUUGCUUCUCCUGAUUUGGCAGCCUUGGGAAGUCCCAUAUGAUUGGCUGAGGAAGCCAGAGGAAGUGAAGGGUUAAACCACGUUGUCUAACAGGAACAACUUUGGAAUGUGUCUAAUGUUCCAGAUCUCUCCCAGCAGACUGCAACCCUGACGAGGAUUUACUUUUCCUUUUCAUUUCAACAAACGAGUUUCCUCAUUGUUCACAAGAACAAAGCGCCUUUUCAGAUUUUAUAUUCGUGUUUGUAUUGUCAUCUAAAUAAGAAAAAAAGCAGUAAUUCAUCUUUCUCUGUAGACGUUUGAGUCUGAACUGUUUGAAUCUGUUGAUGAUAAAUCACUGACUGGAGAGAGUGUGUGUGUGUGUGUGUGUAUAGAGGUUUUCAGCUCAGACCCACAGCAGAGUCUUCAGCAUCCAGCAGGUUGUCUAUGAGGAGUGACCGGUCCAAAGACGACCCGCUAAACUUCAGCGUUGAACCUGAGCGUUUAAGCAGAAUGUAAGAAACUCUUUGUGUUCCUUUUAUUUCAUCAUUUCCAGUGUGUAUUGACUGUUUCUUCUGUUUCCACCACCUUUAUUCAGGCCAAAUGCUUAAUUUCAGUAAUUUGCUUUCAUAUUCUAUCUUUGUUUUUGUUUAUUGAAACUCCACAGAAAAAAUACAGGUUUCCAAAUGUCACUUGUGCUGCUUGUGUGUGUGUGUGUGUGUGUGUGUGUGUGUGUGUAGAGGACAGCGGCUCAGACGCAUGUCGUCCUUGAAGAGUGACCGGUCAAAAGAUGACCCACUAAACUUUAGUUGAGUUCAGACAGUUUGAGGCGUUGUACGGCCGGCAGCCCAAAUGAAACAUCCAGAAUCCUUUGCUCCUCCUGAUUUGGCAGCCUUGGGAAGUCCCAUAUGAUUGGCUGAGGAAGCCAGAGGAAGUGAAGGGUUAGCCCCGCCCACUGAAGUUGUUUCGGCCCAGACCUCUGAGUUUGAAAGACAAAGUGAUGGAGGUGAUGAUCUUUCUUCUGAUUGGAUGGAGAAGACAGAUUGUUCAGGGGGAAUGUUUCAUAAAUAAUGGGCCGAAAAUAAGAAUGUUUGUAAUUAUUUUCAUAGCAAAUUUAUUACUUAUUGUAGCUUUAGUAAUGUGCAACAAAUUGGGGGAAAAAAAUAGAAAGAUGGAAUCCAUCGGAAAGGGGCAGCAAUAACCCUUGUAAGUUUGUGUGAGUCUGUGGUUGCAGCGUUUGAGUCUGAACUGUUCGAAUCUCUUGAGGGAUGUGCGAUACCACUUUUUUCCAGACCGAUACCGAGUACGAGUACUUCAUCUUCAGUACUCACCGAUAGAGUACUCAUACCGAUACUUUUCAUACAUGACAUUUAAAAAAAUGCACUGACAGAUCAUUUUUGAAAAAUGACUAAUUUCUAAAAAAAAAAAAAAAAAAAAAAAAAAAAAAGGCAGCACAGCCACUAUUAGCUAUGUCCCAAUCAAGUUUUUGCCUCCAAUUCCGAAUCCGAGUCAUUUCAUUUUGAACCAAUACCGAUGCUGAGUCCCAAUCCGAUCAGACAUGCUCGCGCUACUAGCUUCACACUGCUUCCAUGUUGACUGCCGCUGUAACCAAUAGCGUCACAGUAAGGAAAUGAUGUCAUGACGCAUGUAUUUCCCCUUCUCUGUGGAGGAGAGAGGACCCACUCUGAGCCACCGCAGAACUCCAGAUCUGAUUAAAAAAGUAAUGAAAAUAACUCACCAUACAAGGGGGGACCCAAAAGUUCCCAGACUGUGGUUAUAACUUUUUAUUUCUUAAUCUUCGCAAAUAUUUGAAACUGUCACCUUCAAAAUACUCUCCUUUGGCUUGAAUACAACACCGCUGCACCCGAGAUUUUCACUGUUCAGAAGAGUCGGCAUAACCGUGUGUAACUGUGCCUUUAAAAUAGAACUUCGAUCAACCCCCCCCCCGUAUGCCUGUCUUACCUCUCCAGUUUCAACUUUGACAACAAAAAGCAGUCGCCUGGGGCCAGAUCAGGUGAAUAUGGCGGUGGGGAGACUGGCUGGUCACGGUUUUAGUCGAA